rnacentral:lncRNA from 1 species
GGACGGUGUUCACAUUCGCCGAUGUACGCGUUAAUUAUAUUGAACUGAUACAAAUAAGUGUCAAUAUCUUAUUUGUUUUACAAUAUUUUUACACGAAACUAAGAAAUCUACGAGAUCAAUAAAUACUUGAUAUGAAAAUAUAAACUUUAUAGUAAAUAAAAAUGUUUUUCUUCAAAAAAAGAUGACCGGACGGAACAAACAUUCGCCGUUAUAUGCCUUAAUAUAAGUUGGUAGACCCAAGUGUUUAUAUCUCUUUUAUUUUAUC